GAGACUCAUAGUGCUAGUCUCAAAUGGUCCUGUUAGACGUGGAAAUCCUAUCCAAUCCAGUUUAUGCCUGACAAUUAUGAACGGGAUCAAGAGACGUUGAGCUUGGCAGAGGAGAAAUGUGAUCUUCAAAUUGCAGAAUCAGUGGGGAGUCUCUGAGGCAUUCCAAAGAUUCAGAUGUAGUAUCUGUGAGAAGGUACUAAAAUGUAAAGGUGGAU